GCAAGUCUAACGAAGUAGCAAUACUUAGUGGCAGACGGGUGAGUAACAUGUAGGUAUCUACCCUUUGGCCUGGAAUAACACGAGGAAACUUGUGCUAAUACCGGAUAAGUCUUUACGGAGAAAGCUUUAUGCACCAUUGGAUGAGCCUGCACUUGAUUAGUUUGUUGGUAGGGUAAUGGCCUACCAAGACUGUGAUCGAUAGCUGAUUUGAGAGGAUGAUCAGCCACAUUGGGACUGAGACACGGCCCAAACUCCUACGGGAGGCAGCAGUGGGGAAUCUUGCACAAUGGAGGAAACUCUGAUGCAGCGAUGCCGCGUGAGUGAAGAAGGCCCUUGGGUUGUAAAGCUCUUUCGUCGGGGAAGAAAAUGACUGUACCCGAAUAAGAAGGUCCGGCUAACUUCGUGCCAGCAGCCGCGGUAAUACGAAGGGACCUAGCGUAGUUCGGAAUUACUGGGCUUAAAGAGUUCGUAGGUGGUUGAAAAAGUUGGUGGUGAAAUCCCAGAGCUUAACUCUGGAACUGCCAUCAAAACUUUUCAGCUAGAGUUUGAUAGAGGAAAGCAGAAUUUCUAGUGUAGAGGUGAAAUUCGUAGAUAUUAGAAAGAAUACCAAUUGCGAAGGCAGCUUUCUGGAUCAUUACUGACACUGAGGAACGAAAGCAUGGGUAGCGAAGAGGAUUAGAUACCCUCGUAGUCCAUGCCGUAAACGAUGUGUGUUAGACGUUGGAAAUUUAUUUUCAGUGUCGCAGCGAAAGCGAUAAACACACCGCCUGGGGAGUACGACCGCAAGGUUAAAACUCAAAUGAAUU
rnacentral:rRNA from 1 species